rnacentral:rRNA from 1 species
CACCAUCGCCACGAGUGGUAAACAUAUUUAUUGGGCCUAAAGCGUUCGUAGCUGGUUUGUUAAAUUCUUUGUGAAAUCGUUGUGCUUAACGCAACGGCGUGCAUAGAAGACUGAUAGACUAGGAACCGGGAGAAGUCAGAAGUAUUCCAGGGGGAGCGGUAAAAUGUUAUAAUCCUUGGAAGACUACCUGUGGCGAAGGCGUCUGACUAGAACGGAUUCGACAGUGAGGAACGAAAGCCAGGGGAGCGAACCGGAUUAGAUACCCCUGUA